rnacentral:rRNA from 1 species
AGGACGAACGCUGGCGGCGUGCUUAACACAUGCAAGUCGAGCGGAAAGGCCCUUCGGGGUACUCGAGCGGCGAACGGGUGAGUAACACGUGAGUAAUCUGCCCCUAGCUCUGGGAUAGCUCCGGGAAACCGGGAUUAAUACCGGAUACGACCACCUUAGACAUCUUUUGUGGUGGAAAGAAUUUCGGCUAGGGAUGAGCUCGCGGCCUAUCAGCUUGUUGGUGGGGUAACGCCUACCAAGGCGACGACGGUAGCCGGCCUGAGAGGGCGACCGGCCACACUGGGACUGAGACACGGCCCAGACUCCUACGGGAGGCAGCAGUGGGGAUAUUGCGCAAUGGGCGAAAGCCUGACGCAGCGACGCCGCGUGGGGAUGAAGGCCUUCGGGUUGUAAACCCCUUUCAGCAGGGACGAAGCGAAAGUGACGGUACCUGCAGAAGAAGCGCCGGCUAACUACGCGCCAGCAGCCGC